AGAAGUUUCAGGGCCAGCUGGCCUUGCUGCGUGAUCUCUUUACUACAGCGCUGUACGAGGAUGGUCUCAGUCAGUGGUUCACCCCAGACGGUUUUCGCUCUUUAUUUUCCCUUGUUGGGACCAAUGGUCAGGGUAUUGGCACCAG